rnacentral:rRNA from 1 species
GCGGCAUGCCUUACACAUGCAAGUCGAACGGCAGCACGGGUGCUUGCACCUGGUGGCGAGUGGCGAACGGGUGAGUAAUACAUCGGAACAUGUCCUGUAGUGGGGGAUAGCCCGGCGAAAGCCGGAUUAAUACCGCAUACGAUCUACGGAUGAAAGCGGGGGACCUUCGGGCCUCGCGCUAUAGGGUUGGCCGAUGGCUGAUUAGCUAGUUGGUGGGGUAAAGGCCUACCAAGGCGACGAUCAGUAGCUGGUCUGAGAGGACGACCAGCCACACUGGGACUGAGACACGGCCCAGACUCCUACGGGAGGCAGCAGUGGGGAAUUUUGGACAAUGGGCGAAAGCCUGAUCCAGCAAUGCCGCGUGUGUGAAGAAGGCCUUCGGGUUGUAAAGCACUUUUGUCCGGAAAGAAAUCCUUGGCUCUAAUACAGUCGGGGGAUGACGGUACCGGAAGAAUAAGCACCGGCUAACUACGUGCCAGCAGCCGCGGUAAUACGUAGGGUGCGAGCGUUAAUCGGAAUUACUGGGCGUAAAGCGUGCGCAGGUGGUUUGCUAAGACCGAUGUGAAAUCCCCGGGCUCAACCUGGGAACUGCAUUGGUGACUGGCAGGCUAGAGUAUGGCAGAGGGGGGUAGAAUUCCACGUGUAGCAGUGAAAUGCGUAGAGAUGUGGAGGAAUACCGAUGGCGAAGGCAGCCCCCUGGGCCAAUACUGACGCUCAUGCACGAAAGCGUGGGGAGCAAACAGGAUUAGAUACCCUGGUGGUCCACGCCCUAAACGAUGUCAACUAGUUGUUGGGGAUUCAUUUCCUUAGUAACGUAGCUAACGCGUGAAGUUGACCGCCUGGGGAGUACGGUCGCAAGAUUAAAACUCAAAGGAAUUGACGGGGACCCGCACAAGCGGUGGAUGAUGUGGAUUAAUUCGAUGCAACGCGAAAAACCUUACCUACCCUUGACAUGGUCGGAAUCCCGCUGAGAGGUGGGAGUGCUCGAAAGAGAACCGGCGCACAGGUGCUGCAUGGCUGUCGUCAGCUCGUGUCGUGAGAUGUUGGGUUAAGUCCCGCAACGAGCGCAACCCUUGUCCUUAGUUGCUACGCAAGAGCACUCUAAGGAGACUGCCGGUGACAAACCGGAGGAAGGUGGGGAUGACGUCAAGUCCUCAUGGCCCUUAUGGGUAGGGCUUCACACGUCAUACAAUGGUCGGAACAGAGGGUUGCCAACCCGCGAGGGGGAGCUAAUCCCAGAAAACCGAUCGUAGUCCGGAUUGCACUCUGCAACUCGAGUGCAUGAAGCUGGAAUCGCUAGUAAUCGCGGAUCAGCAUGCCGCGGUGAAUACGCUCCCGGGUCUUGUACACACCGCCCGUCACACCAUGGGAGUGGGUUUUACCAGAAGUGGCUAGUCUAACCGCAAGGAGGACGGUCACCACGGUAGGAUUCAUGACUGGGGUGAAGUC